AUCCAACUGACGAGUCCCAGAGAGGACGAAACGCGCGUCGUGGAU
rfam:Schistosoma mansoni, Puerto Rico, WGS project CABG01000000 data, contig: 0149